rnacentral:lncRNA from 1 species
AGAUAACAAAGAAUGUGGUUGUUGUUCUUGUUAAUUUGGAUGAAUUUUUGGUGGAUAGGUGCUUGAAUCAAACAAAUGAUCAUGUGUGUACACUAGGUGCUAGUUGAGAAGAAUCGGUCAUUAUAUUGGAGGCCAUUGCCGAAUAUGAGUUUAGUUAUUGAGAGUGAGGAAUGUGUUUUGAGUUGAUGGAAUAAAAGAAUGCUUAAAGAUGUGUCACAA